GAGCCCGCACAAGCAGUGGAGUAUGUGGAUUAAUUCGAAGCAACGCGAAGAACCUUACCAGAGCUUGACAUCGCCGGAAUGCCGAGUAAUGUUGGCAGUGCCCUUCGGGGAGCCGGUAGACAGGUGGUGCAUGGUUGUCGUCAGCUCGUGUCGUGAGAUGUUGGGUUAAGUCCCGCAACGAGCGCAACCCUUACUGUCAGUUGCUACGCAAGAGCACUCUGACAGGACUGCCGUGGAUAACGCGGAGGAAGGUGGGGAUGACGUCAAAUCAUCAUGCCCCUUACGCCCUGGGCCUCACACGUACUACAAUGGAUUUACACAGAGGGAGCAACGGCGCGAGCCUGAGCAAAUCCCAAAAAGAGUCCUCAGUUCGGACUGCAGGCUGCAACUCGCCUGCACGAAGUUGGAAUUGCUAGUAAUCGCGAAUCAGAAUGUCG
rnacentral:rRNA from 1 species